rnacentral:rRNA from 1 species
CGACCGGCGCACGGGUGCGUAACGCGUAUGCAACCUACCAUCAACAGGGGGAUAACACUGAGAAAUUGGUACUAAUACCCCAUAAUAUCUCAUGCGGCAUCGCAUGGGGUUGAAAACUCCGGUGGUUGAUGAUGGGCAUGCGUUGUAUUAGCUGGUUGGUGAGGUAACGGCUCACCAAGGCGACGAUACAUAGGGGGACUGAGAGGUUAACCCCCCACAUUGGUACUGGGACACGGACCAAACUCCUACGGAAGGCAGCAG